AUCAACGCUGGCGGCGUGCCUCAGACAUGCAAGUCGAACGAUUAAAGCUCUCUUCGGAGAGUGUAUAGAGUGGCGCACGGGUGAGUAACACGUAAGUAAUCUACCUUUGAGUGGGGAAUAACCCGGGGAAACCCGAGCUAAUACCGCAUAAUGCAGCGGCAUCGCAAGAUGACAGUUGUUAAAGAUUUAUCGCUUGAAGAGGAGCUUGCGGCAGAUUAGCUAGUUGGUAAGGUAAUGGCUUACCAAGGCUACGAUCUGUAACCGGUCUAAGAGGACGGUCGGUCACACUGACACUGAAUAACGGGUCAGACUCCUACGGGAGGCAGCAGUCGGGAAUUUUGGGCAAGUGGGACGAAAGCCUGACCCAGCAACGCCGCGUGAAGGAUGAAGUAUUUCGGUAUGUAAACUUCGAAAGAAUAGGAAGAAUAAAUGACGGUACUAUUUAUAAGGUCCGGACUAACUACGUG
rnacentral:rRNA from 1 species